ACGGAAGGCAGCAGUGGGGAAUAUUGCACAAUGGGGGAAACCCUGAUGCAGCGACGCCGCGUGUGUGAAGAAGUUUUUCGGAAUGUAAAGCCCUAUCAGCAGGGAAGAUAAUGACGGUACCUGACUAAGAAGCCCCGGCUAACUACGUGCCAGCAGCCGCGGUAGUACGUAGGGGGCAAGCGUUAUCCGGAUUUACUGGGUGUAAAGGGAGCGUAGACGGAAUAGCAAGUCUGAAGUGAAAUGUAGGGGCUCAACCCCUGAACUGCUUUGGAAACUGUUGAUCUUGAGUACCGGAGGGGCAGGCGGAAUUCCUGGUGUAGCGGUGAAAUGCGUAGAUAUCAGGAAGAACACCGGUGGCGAAGGCGGCCUGCUGGACGGUAACUGACGUUGAGGCUCGAAAGCGUGGGGAGCAAACAGGAUUAGAUACCCUGGUA
rnacentral:rRNA from 1 species